GUUUAUCUUAGUCCACUGAAAAGGAAGUUUUGUGUUAUUAUCUGUUUGUUUCUUCUUUGUAAGAAUCUCUUUGGUCUACAUCUUAUACUCUAACUAUUUUGAAGAUGAUUAUACACUGUAUAUUAACUAUUGUUAUGUUCUUGUAUUUUGUUAUGAAUUUUCUUUUUUUUUCAUAAAAUAAAAAAAAAAGAACGAUAGGACUUGGACAUAAGCAGAUGGGGAUAAUCCAUAUACCAAGCACGCAUGAAGGAUCUGACAAAGGCCCACCUUAUGCCAAAUGGCCAAACAGGAAAGAACUUCAAGAAUGAAGGUAACCUGAUCCUAAGCACAAGGUUAAGCUACUAUAUUAAAGAAUCGUGUAGAAAACUGCCACAGGCAAGGAAGGAAUAGGGAAUUAUGGAAGAAACAGUUAGCCAGCCCUGAGAACCACUUUCUCUCCCUGAUGAAAAAGGUCAUCG
rnacentral:lncRNA from 1 species